AUUGAACGCUGGCGGCAUGCCUUACACAUGCAAGUCGAACGGCAGCACGGGAGCAAUCCUGGUGGCGAGUGGUGAACGGGUGAGUAAUGUAUCGGAACGUGCCCAGUCGUGGGGGAUAACGUAGCGAAAGCUACGCUAAUACCGCAUACGAUCUGUGGAUGAAAGCGGGGGACCGUAAGGCCUCGCGCGAUUGGAGCGGCCGAUAUCAGAUUAGGUAGUUGGUGGGGUAAAGGCCUACCAAGCCGACGAUCUGUAGCUGGUCUGAGAGGACGACCAGCCACACUGGGACUGAGACACGGCCCAGACUCCUACGGGAGGCAGCAGUGGGGAAUUUUGGACAAUGGGCGCAAGCCUGAUCCAGCAAUGCCGCGUGCAGGAUGAAGGCCUUCGGGUUGUAAACUGCUUUUGUACGGAGCGAAAAGGCUCUCUCUAAUACAGGGGGCUCAUGACGGUACCGUAAGGAUAAGCACCGGCUAACUACGUGCCAGCAGCCGCCGCCG
rnacentral:rRNA from 1 species